CGGCAGGGGGCAAGGUGUGGUCACUGAAAAGAACAUGGCAGCAACAAGAGAACUGGGCAACAACAACAGAACAGGGCAGCAACAAGAUCAAUAUGGUGGAGGCAGUUUUGCUAAGAAAAAACUAUCUGGAGGCAGUGUUACCAAACUUUCUGUUAGUUCUGUUCCAAAGACCGUCACUAAAGAGGAU